rnacentral:lncRNA from 1 species
ACAUAUUUUUCUUAUAAAGUAGAUUUGCACUUGAACACCGUCGACAAAGGACUGUACAAGUUACCAGUGUUCCUUCAGAAGACUUUGAGAGAAUAUUAUUUUGUUGGAUUCAUCCAGUCUUUGUUGAGACAUCAUAAGGGAAUCCAGAAGUAUAGAUGGAACAUUGCCAAGAUAUGGCAUUUUGUGAACAUUUCUACUUCAAUUGAAGUCUACCAAGAUACAGCAGUCUUACACGUCCUGUCAUACACGCUGUCUGAUAUCAGCAUUCAGAAAUCAAACUAAAUCCUCUGUCAGCUUGCAGCAGUGGAACCCUGAAGACCCUCUACUUCCAUGGAAAGAAAACACAUGAAAUUAAUAAAUAUGACACAUUUAAGAACA